CACUUCCUCCCACUCCUGUCUUUCUGUGAUAGCUUCUGGUUAUAUUUUCUUCAUGGUAUUUCAGUACCUGAAAUGAUUCUAUUCAGAAAGAGAGAGAUCACAAGUAGGCAGAGAGGCAAGCAGAGAGAGAGAGAGAGGAGGAAGCAGCUCUCUGCUGAGCAGAGAGCCCGAUGA
rnacentral:lncRNA from 1 species